rnacentral:tRNA from 1 species
GGUGAGGUGGGAGAGUGGCCGAAUCCAAUAGUUUGCUAAACUGUCGUACGGGUUAAACCGUACCGCGGGUUCGAAUCCCGCCCUCACCG